AUUGAACGCUGGCGGCAGGCCUAACACAUGCAAGUCGAACGAGUGGCGGACGGGUGAGUUAUGCUUGGGAAACUAGCUUAUGGAGGGGGAUAACUACGGGAAACGGUAGCUAAUACCGCGUACCAUAGGAUGAGCCCAGGUGGGAUUAGGUAGUUGGUGGGGUAAAGGCUCACCAAGGCGACGAUCUCUAGCUGGUCUGAGAGGAUGACCAGCCACACUGGGACUGAGACACGGUCCAGACUCCUACGGGAGGCAGCAGUGGGGAAUAUUGCGCAAUGGGGGCAACCCUGACGCAGCCAUGCCGCGUGGAUGAAGAAGGCCUUCUGGUUGUAAAGUUCUUUCGGUGGCGAGGCGUUAUCUGCAGAAGAAGCACCGGCUAACUCCGUGCCAGCAGCCGCGGUAAUUC
rnacentral:rRNA from 1 species